GACGAAGGAUGCAAGCGUUAUCCGGAUUCAUUGGGUUUAAAGGGUGCGUAGGCGGGCUGAUAAGUCAGUGGUGAAAUCUCUCAGCUUAACUGAGAAACUGCCAUUGAUACUGUCAGUCUAGAGUACAGAUGAUGUGGGCGGAAUAUGACAUGUAGUGGUGAAAUACUUAGAUAUGUCAUAGAACACCGAUUGCGAAGGCAGCUCACAAAACUGUAACUGACGCUGAGGCACGAAAGCGUGGGGAUCAAACAGG
rnacentral:rRNA from 1 species